rnacentral:rRNA from 1 species
AUGCAAGUCGAGCGAUGAAGCUUCCUUCGGGAAGUGGAUUAGCGGCGGACGGGUGAGUAACACGUGGGUAACCUGCCUCAAAGUGGGGGAUAGCCUUCCGAAAGGAAGAUUAAUACCGCAUAAUAUAAGAGAAUCGCAUGAUUUUUUUAUCAAAGAUUUAUUGCUUUGAGAUGGACCCGCGGCGCAUUAGCUAGUUGGUAAGGUAACGGCUUACCAAGGCAACGAUGCGUAGCCGACCUGAGAGGGUGAUCGGCCACAUUGGAACUGAGACACGGUCCAGACUCCUACGGGAGGCAGCAG